rnacentral:lncRNA from 1 species
CGAAGACGACUGGAAAUCCUAACAUCUAUCAGCAUGUCGGCAGGAAACAAAAAAAUCUUGUUGCAGUCUCCUUCACUUACAUUUGAGCUUCACUUUUCUUCACGUCUAACAUGAAGUAAUUCAGUCAGUGAGAUGAUGUGAGGAAAAAACAAAAGGAAAGAGCCUUCGCACACAUUGACUUACUUUCCCUGCAGACGUGCUGAUGGGAUUCCCGGUAGUGCUAGUGGGUUGUUAUGUUGUAAGCUGUUUGGAGUUGCUUGGGAAGAGAAAGAUUAUUUAAUUGGGUAAGAUAGCACUGGUAGCACUUGCAUCAACUCACUGCGGCGCUCAGAGCACUCAGCCAGAGGAGGAAAAUCUGUUUCUGUCGGUCCGAUGAACCACCUGUCACCUGAUUCGAACAGGUUCUCCUCCACACAGUCCUCUUUGUGUGGAUGCCCUAAAAGGGCUUCCACACUAUUGAGUUCCUGUUUCUCUUUAAACUUUAUUCUUCAAGUUGCUUCCGUACGUUUUUUGGCACUUAACUACUCCCUCAGUUUUUAUCCGAUUUUCGCCAUUCAAACUUUAAAAAAUUCUGCUAUUUCUGCUAAUGCGGGCUAUGACUUUUGGUGCUCAUAACUUCUAUACUUUUUGAGAUAUUGAAUUUUUUUUUGCAAUAUUUUUUGCCCAUUUCUGCCAUAUUAUCAGUGGCCUAACUGAUUUUCCUUGCCGGGAUGAC